GUCGUCAAUCUGCCGGAAAGGUUGGUGAUAUGUACUUCGUGACUGAACCCUCCUUUUAGGUUAAGUUCUCUCGUGGAAAUCUCUCGUUGGUGUCUUUACGUCAAGAAACUUAUAUUGCUGGUACGCUGUAAAAUGAGAUUCGUCGACUGCCUGCGAAGGUGUGGAACGAAGCUUGGAAGACACCAUCCCAGGAGUAGAGUGAGUUUGGUAAAGUAUGCCAAUGCCAAUGGUCUGUUGAAAGAUAACUUUGAUUUGGUUAAAAAACUGGUAAGUGAUAAGUCUUCGUGAAGUUGGAUAGUGCUUAACAUCAGUCUUGGUCCAGCUUAAAUACUCUGCCCAAAUCUUCAGCUUGGAAUACUCCGCCCAGUAGUCCAGUCCAAAUCUUCAGCUUUAAUCUACCACUUGAAUCCUCUGCCCCAAAUCUUCAACUUCAAUCCUCCGCCCCAAAUCUUCAGCUUUAAUAUUCAGCUUUGAUCUUAAUCUAGAAUACUUUGCCUGGUGACUAAACUCUGCGCGGAAUCGGAUAAAUAAAAGGGUAAUAAAAAUGGAAAGUUUUAUGUCAAUGGAAAUUCAUUUGUUUUAUUUUGGCUUUUAAUUAAAAGGUUGUUGAAGAAAA